rnacentral:rRNA from 1 species
GGAACAUGUCCUGUAGUGGGGGAUAGCCCGGCGAAAGCCGGAUUAAUACCGCAUACGAUCUGAGGACGAAAGCGGGGGACCUUCGGGCCUCGCGCUAUAGGGUUGGCCGAUGGCUGAUUAGCUAGUUGGUGGGGUAAAGGCCUACCAAGGCGACGAUCAGUAGCUGGUCUGAGAGGACGACCAGCCACACUGGGACUGAGACACGGCCCAGACUCCUACGGGAGGCAGCAGUGGGGAAUUUUGGACAAUGGGCGAAAGCCUGAUCCAGCAAUGCCGCGUGUGUGAAGAAGGCCUUCGGGUUGUAAAGCACUUUUGUCCGGAAAGAAAUCCUUGGUUCUAAUAUAGCCGGGGGAUGACGGUACCGGAAGANUAAGCACCGGCUAACUACGUGCCAGCAGCCGCGGUAAUACGUAGGGUGCAAGCGUUAAUCGGAAUUACUGGGCGUAAAGCGUGCGCANNCGGNUUGCUAAGACCNAUGUGAAAUCCCCGGGCUCNACCUGGGAACUGCAUUGGUGACUGGCA